rnacentral:lncRNA from 1 species
GGAUAUGUCUGUGAUUUACUACUAGCCAAGCACCAUUAAAAGCUGGCUUAUCUUGCUUCAUUUUAUUUUUUGCAAGCCAUGUUCAAUGUUUUGCCAUUACCCACAAUGUACGGGCAAAGAAACUAAAGGGCAGUAGACUAAAUAAUCACAGUUCUUGGCUUCUCCAGUUUUAUUUUAGUAUCUUACAUUUUCAGUUUUCUUUUGUGGCUGUAAAAUGGGGCAUAACUAAAGAGACCACAGUCAUAGCAGAGUGAGUCCAAGGAAAGGGUCCUGGCUUCAGUCCCAGAUUCCCAGCUCACCCCUCUGUGUCUUAGUGUCUGGCACAACUUUUCACCUUUUCUUUUCUGUUUUUGUUUUUGUUUUUGUUUUUGUUUUUGUUCUUUGUUAUUGUUUUGUUUUAUGCCAAGGCAGUCCCUGGUAUCACUGGCCUCUGAGACACUGUGGAGGAAGCUCCAGCUUCUUAAGCAGUUUCCUAAGAAUUUCAGAAAUGCUGGUAACUUUCUCCCCGACUGGUCAAAAGAUAAAACACACACAGAGAUUGGGAGUCUGGGAAUGUGAGAUAGAAACUUAACUUUGCUGGUCAUCCCUCUUGUAUGCUUGAAAGCAUUUCAAUCUUGAAUGUUUCAACCAAGGGGGAAAAGCUAGUCUUAUUCCAACAAGAUAGCUUUCACGUUGGUUAUACUUAAGUUAAUGAGGGGACUAGCUGCCUGGUAGAAAAACAAGAGAGAAAGCAGACUGGGAAGGUUUAUUGGAUAAACACCAGAUACUAAACUCCCUGGAAGGAACACUUCACAGAAGACUUGGAAGUGCGUCAGGAAAAUAAAUUGCAAAAGAUAACACAGGUGGACCUCUACAGAGAUUUUGAAACAAGUCUCCCUCCCUUUGAGCAAGCAGAUCUUCAGUGCAUGGUCCAAUGCUUGAAAUCGGCCCAAAGGAAAUGCUUGGUUGUUCCCUCCGGAACACAGCUCCAGCCCCUGGAAUGGCAACAGCAUUUACUCAGGAGUUAUUCACAGGACUCAGUGUACUCAGUUGAGUGUCUUCUUUAAGGAAUGGAGCAGUGUAAAGAGCAGGAAGGACGAUGAGAA